UCGAUUCUACUUCCUCGCAGUUCCGACGUUUCAAAUCCCAACCACCACUCUGCUCUCUGUGUAUAUAGACUCACUCUUACGAAGUCUAAAUUGACGCCCUCUCUACUUGAUCAAAAACUUUCGGGUUACCUCGAUCUCAUAGUACGUCUUAUUCCUAUCUCAUAAGUCAUAAUGCUUCUCCAAUUCAUAAUUUCAUAAUUUUGUUAGAUAAAACUCACGCUUCAUUUUCUGGAGUUCAAGCCCAAGAUCUGUGGAUUGAAAGUUUCAGAAGUGGAUAAUUUCGCGCUAAUUUUUUGUUAAAUUUUUUUAUUGACUGAGGUUGGAACGUGGCUACACCAUUCAUUUAGACGCUCCGGCAGAAGAAGUAUACACCCCACCGAAUUUCAAGCUUGAGGAAGUAUUUGAUGGAGGAAGUAUUUGAUGCCUAAGACGGAAGCUCACCGGUUCGAUCAUCUUCUUUCCUUUGGUUGGAUCAAAGGCAUUUUGCUCCAUGUCUGCUUACUCCUGCACUUUCUACCAUUGGUAAUAUAGUUACUGGAAAUACUCAGCAGACCCAAAGUGUGAUCAAUUAUGGUGCUUUACCCAUUGCUGCCAACCUGCUCACUCAAAACUAUAGAAAAAAUUAAAACCAUAGAGAGGGAAGCUUGCUGGGUGCUUUCAAAUAUCAGUGCGAAAUACAAAUUCAGCCACUCAUUGAUGCAAACUUGAUUCCAGUAUUGGUCCACCUGACUCAAAACUCAAAAUUUGACAUAAAGAAAAAAGCUUUAUGGGAAUAUCGAAUUCCAUCUCAGGUGGUUCUCAUGAUCAAAUCAAAUACUUGGUGGAGCAGAGUUGCAUAAAACCGUUAUGUGAUUGGAUGGAUUGGACAAAAUUUUGAAGGGUGGAGAGUCAGAGAAGAAUCAGAAGAUCACAGGACACUUGAACUAUUCCUAAUUUGUUGAAGAUGCAGAAGGGCUAGAAAAGAUUGAGAAACUACAGAGCAACGACAACAAUGAGAUCUACGAGAAUGCUAUGAAGAUAUUGGAGACAUACUGGGUUGAAGAGGUAGAUGAGAAGACACAACACCAACCUCCACGUGAUCAUGAUGGUUCUCAUCUGGACUUUCACUUCGGAGGGAACCAACUUCCAGUUCCUCCUGUAGGAUUCAACUUAUGUUAAAACAAACAUUUCAAACUAUUAAGAGUCUUCUUAUAUAGGAUGAGAUCUCUCACACAGUCUGAUAUUAAUGGUUAGAAAAGAAAUCUGACAUUAUGUCAAUAUCAGCAAAUUGUGAAUUUAUCAACCCUCUCCCAUACAAAAAUGU